rnacentral:lncRNA from 1 species
GUCCGGGAUCUAUGGGGCUGGAUCUAUGGGUCCAGGAUCUAUGGGGCUGGGAUCUAUGGGUCCAGGAUGUGUGGGUCCGGGAUGUGUGGGGCUGGGAUCUGUGGGGCUGAGAUCUGUGGGUCCAAGAUCUAUGGGGCUGGGAUCUAUGGGGCUGAGAUCUGUGGGUCCGGGAUCUAUGGGGCUGGGAUCUAUGGGUCCGAAAUCUGUGGGUCCGGGAUCUAUGGGUCCGGGAUCAAUGGGACUGAGACCUGUGGGUCCGGGAUGUGUGGGUCCGGGAUGUGUGGGUCCAGGAUCUGUGGGUCCGGGAUCUAUGGGGCUGGGAUCUGUGGGGCUGGGAUCUAUGGGUCCGGGAUCUAUGGGGCUGGGAUCUAUGGGGCUGAGAUCUGUGGGUCCAGGAUCUGUGGGGCUGGAUCUAUGGGGCUGGGAUCUAUGGGGCUGAGACCUGUGGGUCUGGGAUCUGUGGGUCUGGGAUCUAUGGGGCUGAGACCUGUAGGUCCGGGAUCUAUGGGUCCAGGAUCUAUGGGUCCGGGAUCUAUGGGGCUGGGAUCUAUGGGGCUGAGACCUGUGGGUCCGGGAUCUGUGGGUCCGGGAUCUAUGGGGCUGAGAUCUAUGGGGCUGGGAUAUGUGGGUCCGGGAUCUAUGGGUCUGGGAUCUAUGGGGCUGAGAUCUGUGGGUCCAGGAUCUGUGGGGCUGGGAUCUAUGGGGCUGAGAUCUAUGGGGCUGGGAUAUGUGGGUCCGGGAUCUAUGGGUCUGGGAUCUAUGGGGCUGAGACCUGUAGGUCCGGGAUCUAUGGGUCCAGGAUCUAUGGGUCCGGGAUCAAUGGGGCUGGGAUCUAUGGGGCUGGGACCUGUGGGUCCAGGAUCUAUGGGGCUGGGAUCUAUGGGGCUGAGACCUGUGGGUCCGGGAUCUGUGGGUCUGGGAUCUAUGGGGCUGGGAUCAAUGGGGCUGAGACCUGUGGGUCCGGGAUGUGUGGGUCCAGGAUGUGUGGGUCCAGGAUGUGUGGGUCUGGGAUCUAUGGGGCUGGGAUCAGUGGGGGGGGGGGGUGUUGUGCAAUGCUGCCCCCCCCCCCCGGCGCCGUUCCGGGAAGCGGUGGGGCCGCCCCACACUCUGCCCCAUAGGUCAGGGCCCCGCGGGGGCCUCGGUCAACUCAUUAAGGGCGAAGGUCGUUAAGGGCGGCGCUGCUAAUUAGUGCCCGCCCCUCCCCCCAACCCCCACAGAGACACAGAGCGACCCAUAGAGACCNNNNNNNNNNNNNNNNNNNNNNNNNNNNNNNNNNNNNNNNNNN